ensembl:lncRNA
UUUACUGUAACGGUUGAACUACAGUUGCUACACCAAGAGCCGAGAAAAGAGAGUCAUAUCAGUGGAGAUUUUCUUUCCUGGGACACGGUUGCGCUGAACUAUCUGAAAAGACUGUGCCUGUCUCCUUAUCAACCUUAAGACGAACUGCUAUAUCCAUUUUGGUAAGCCCUGAACAAAUCUCUACCUUGCUGACUAUACCGGACAAAUGCUAAAAUCUUUUGUAAACCAUUUUGGUGAGCUGUAUGGGACAGACCAGAUUGUACACAAUGUCCACUGUCUGGUCCACCUGGCAGACAAGGUGAAGAGGCAUGGCUGUCUGUCUUUUUCAGCAACAACACCCCAACAGAUUCUGCCAAAAAAAUGCAACAGUACUCUACGGUUGAGCUGAAGUUCUACUUGACCAUUAUGACCUGUACUUUUUCCUUCCUUAUACUUCUUCCCACCUUGGGGCACCAUUCAGGUUAACUUUCAGCCCAUCUUACUUGCUUAUUUGUAUACAUUGUAGGCCUAUACUUGUGCAUGCUUUAGUCCAUGUUAUUCCUUUUUUGAUGAUGAAUAAAUACCCUUUUUCUUUCUUUCUACAUUAAGGAUGCCAAACUGGCCAAGAUAUGACGUAAAGGUCGUCAGAACUUGUGACAACUACAAAAACGCCAUCAGGCUAAUUAAUCAAUAUCAGACCGGCUGCAACACCUCUGAGCUACAGUCUGGAGGGUGAGCAGGAGGGUGAGCUGCCAGAGAAACGAGUCAGGAUGCCAAUCACCUGACCAUGGGGCCGGACCGCAACACCCUUCACCACCUCAACUCCCUGCACCUGCAUUUAACAUGAGGAGAGUAACUCAAGGAACGGCAGUCCCUCCUCAACUCCCUCCACCCCCCGCACCGGCCCUCAACAUGAGGCGAACAGAGGAGCCCUCUUCAAGCCUGGCCUACAGACCAACAUGGCGAGGGGGAAGAAUGACUGAUACAAUUCCCUGCUCUGCGGCUGAGGUCCACAUCCUUAGCCUGCUGGAGACCAUAGGUGAACUACCUCAGCAGCAGGCUGAACAGCAACCCCGGGGCCAGAUGUUGAGAUGCCGGACAAUAUCCAGUUUCCCCUAGAACAAUUGGAGGCAGUGGAGGCAUUUGAAAUGUUUUUAAAGGAACCGUCAAAUGGCCCAGCUCGACAGAGUGGUGCUGUGAGGAAAAACAGUGACACAGUCAGCCACGGACGCAGAGGUGGUUCAACCUGGUAGCGGAUCGGGCAACGAGGAGACAUGUCCCGCCUCAAGCCACACAAACAGAGUAAUAGGAGAAAUAAGCAAUAAACAAUAUUUUUAUUGAACUUCUUGUCGUUCACCAGUUAUUAAUUUUCUGAUAU